GACGAACGCUGGCGGCGUGCCUAAUACAUGCAAGUCGAGCGGGCCUCCGGAGGUGCUUGCACCUCCGGAAGGCCAGCGGCGGACGGGUGAGUAACACGUGGGCAACCUGCCUUUGAGGCCGGGAUAACACCGGGAAACCGGUGCUAAUACCGGAUACGUCCUCUUUCGCGCCUGCGAGAGGGGAGAAAGACGGUCUUUAAGGCCGUCGCUCAAAGAGGGGCCCGCGGCGCAUUAGCUGGUUGGUGGGGUAAGGGCCUACCAAGGCGACGAUGCGUUGCCGACCUGGUAGGGUGAUCGGCCACACUGGGACUGAGACACGGCCCAGACUCCUGCGGGAGGCAGCAGUAGGGAAUCAUCCGCAAUGGGCGAAAGCCUGACGGUGCAACGCCGCGUGAGUGAGGAAGGUUUUCGGAUCGUAAAGCUCUGUUGUGAGGGAAGAACAGCUUCCGGAGGAAAUGCCGGAGGUUUGCCGGUACCUCACCAGAAAGCCCCGGCUAACUACGUGCCAGCCGCCGCAGUAAAAC
rnacentral:rRNA from 1 species